rnacentral:rRNA from 1 species
CCCGGUCCCAUCCCGAACCCGGAAGCUAAGCCCGCCCGCGCCGAUGGUACUGCACUCGCCAGGGUGUGGGAGAGUAGGUCACCGCCGACA